rnacentral:rRNA from 1 species
UACGGAGGGGGCUAGCGUUGUUCGGAAUUACUGGGCGUAAAGCGCACGUAGGCGGCUUUGCAAGUUAGAGGUGAAAGCCCGGAGCUCAACUCCGGAAUUGCCUUUAAAACUGCAUCGCUAGAAUUGUGGAGAGGUAAGUGGAAUUCCGAGUGUAGAGGUGAAAUUCGUAGAUAUUCGGAAGAACACCAGUGGCGAAGGCGACUUACUGGUCCGGUUCUGACGCUGAGGCGCGAAAGCGUGGGGAGCAAACAGG